rnacentral:rRNA from 1 species
GACGAACGCUGGCGGCGUGCCUAAUACAUGCAAGUUGAGCGAUGAAGAUUGGUGCUUGCACCAAUUUGAAGAGCAGCGAACGGGUGAGUAACGCGUGGGGAAUCUGCCUUUGAGCGGGGGACAACAUUUGGAAACGAAUGCUAAUACCGCAUAACAACUUUAAACAUAAGUUUUAUGUUUGAAAGAUGCAAUUGCAUCACUCAAAGAUGAUCCCGCGUUGUAUUAGCUAGUUGGUGAGGUAAAGGCUCACCAAGGCGAUGAUACAUAGCCGACCUGAGAGGGUGAUCGGCCACAUUGGGACUGAGACACGGCCCAAACUCCUACGGGAAGGAGCCGGAGGGAAACUUCGGCAAGGGGCGGAAGUCUGACCGAGAAACGCCGCGGGCGUGAAGAAGGUCUUCGGGUCGUAAAACUCUGUUGGUAGGGAAGAAAGUUGGUGAGAGUGGAAAGCUGCUCAAGUGACGGUAACGACCCAAAAAGCAACGGCUAACUACGUG